UAAAGCGCACGCAGGGCGGUCUGUCAAGUCGGAUGUGAAAUCCCCGGGCUCAACCUGGGAACUGCAUUCGAAACUGGCAGGCUAGAGUCUUGUAGAGGGGGGGUAGAAUUCCAGGUGUAGCGGUGAAAUGCGUAGAGAUCUGGAGGAAUACCGGUGGCGAAGGCGGCCCCCUGGACAAAGACUGACGCUCAGGUGCGAAAGCGUGGGGAGCAAACAGGAUUAGAUACCCUGGUAGUCCACGCCGUAAACGAUGUCGAUUUGGAGGUUGUGCCCUUGAGGCGUGGCUUCCGGAGCUAACGCGUUAAAUCGACCGCCUGGGGAGUACGGCCGCAAGGUUAAAACUCAAAUGAAUUGACGGGGGCCCGCACAAGCGGUGGAGCAUGUGGUUUAAUUCGAUGCAACGCGAAGAACCUUACCUGGUCUUGACAUCCACAGAACUUUCCAGAGAUGGAUUGGUGCCUUCGGGAACUGUGAGACAGGUGCUGCAUGGCUGUCGUCAGCUCGUGUUGUGAAAUGUUGGGUUAAGUCCCGCAACGAGCGCAACCCUUAUCCUUUGUUGCCAGCGGUUAGGCCGGGAACUCAAAGGAGACUGCCAGUGAUAAACUGGAGGAAGGUGGGGAUGACGUCAAGUCAUCAUGGCCCUUACGACCAGGGCUACACACGUGCUACAAUGGCAUAUACAAAGAGAAGCGACCUCGCGAGAGCAAGCGGACCUCAUAAAGUAUGUCGUAGUCCGGAUUGGAGUCUGCAACUCGACUCCAUGAAGUCGGAAUCGCUAGUAAUCGUAGAUCAGAAUGCUACGGUGAAUACGUUCCCGGGCCUUGUACACACCGCCCGUCACACCAUGGGAGUGGGUUGCAAAAGAAGUAGGUAGCUUAA
rnacentral:rRNA from 1 species